GACGAACGCUGGCGGCGUGCCUAACACAUGCAAGUCGAACGCUGAAACUUGGAGCUUGCUCCGGGUGGAUGAGUGGCGGACGGCUGAGUAACGCGUGAAGAAUCUGCCCUAAGGUGGGGAACAACAUUCCGAAAGGAAUGCUAAUACCGCAUAAUAUAUUCGAGUGGCAUCACUUGAAUAUCAAAGAUUUAUCGCCUUUGGAUGACUUCGCGUCUGAUUAGCUUGUUGGUGAGGUAAUGGCUCACCAAGGCGACGAUCAGUAGCCGAACUGAGAGGUUGAUCGGCCAGAUUGGGACUGAGACACGGCCCAGACUCCUACGGGAGGCAGCAGUGGGGAAUAUUGCGCAAUGGGGGAAACCCUGACGCAGCAACGCCGCGUGAGCGAUGAAGGUCUUCGGAUUGUAAAGCUCUUUAAGUUGGGAAGA
rnacentral:rRNA from 2 species